rnacentral:rRNA from 1 species
CCUACGGGAGGCAGCAGUGGGGAAUUUUGGACAAUGGGGGCAACCCUGAUCCAGCCAUGCCGCGUGAGUGAAGAAGGCCUUCGGGUUGUAAAGCUCUUUCGGCCGGAACGAAAUCGCGCACGUGAAUAACGUGCGUGGAUGACGGUACCGGAGUAAGAAGCACCGGCUAACUACGUGCCAGCAGCCGCGGUAAUACGUAGGGUGCGAGCGUUAAUCGGAAUUACUGGGCGUAAAGCGUGCGCAGGCGGUUCGCUAAGUCAGACGUGAAAGCCCCGGGCUUAACCUGGGAACGGCGUUUGAAACUGGCGGGCUCGAGUACGGCAGAGGGGGGUGGAAUUCCACGUGUAGCAGUGAAAUGCGUAGAUAUGUGGAGGAACACCGAUGGCGAAGGCAGCCCCCUGGGCCGAUACUGACGCUCAUGCACGAAAGCGUGGGGAGCAAACAGGAUUAGAUACCCUGGUAGUCCACGCCCUAAACUAUGUCAACUAGUUGUCGGGGAAGCAAUUCCUUGGUAACGCAGCUAACGCGUGAAGUUGACCGCCUGGGGAGUACGGUCGCAAAGAUUAAAACCUCAAAGGAAUUGACGGNUGAGAGNGCGAGNGACGACGAGGAGAG